rnacentral:snoRNA from 1 species
CCCCUCACACACACACUCCAGAUCCAAACUCUGGUCUGAGUGGUUACAAAAGGAGGAAAAGCAAAGCUGAAACCAGCCCAGAUUCUUUUAUGAAACACACUCGUUUCAAACAAAC